UCAAAAAUCAGCAAGCCAGAACAGCUGGCACCUUUGUUCUGAGCGGAAAUAUCUGGUUUCAGUCUCACAUUAGAUUCCCUCAGAGCCUGCCCAGGGCUCAGGGGAGAAGCUCAGGGAGUUCCUCCGCUUAUCUAGUUGAUUUAUGAUCAAGGUCACACAUC